GCCAUCAAUGUUGUCACCGGUCAAAAUCGAAGUACCCGAAAUAGUUCCAGAUGCAAAAUACGAUCAACAGAAAUACUGCAACAACAUCUUCAGAGACGUGGCGGUUCCACAAUCUUUAGGAGGUAUACUGAAGCCAUCAAUAUUGAAGGUACCCUUACGCAAAGAAGAAGAAUUAUUAAUUAUAACAUAGAUUUAAGUUGUUAUUGAAAAUUGUAUUUUCAAGGUGGCCGGUUAAUGUUAGAUCUGAAAUGGAAUAUUGUAGAAAUCUAGCCAUCUAGUAAUCUUGCGAUUUGUGCACCCUAGCAACCCAAUGUUUUUCGCUCCUAUAGCAACGUUUUUUCACCAAGUUUGUUGCUUUGUAUCGAACCUUCAAGAAUGGAAGACGUAUUAAAGGGACUGAAGUUUUGUUAAAAACUCCGUGAGUUUUUUUAUGAAUACCCGAAAUAGUUCAACGAAUCGUUCGUUGUUCAACGCUACUGCUGUAAUAGAGGUGUUCCCCGAGUGUCCCCCGAGUGUCCCCCGAGUGUCCCCCGAGUGUUCCCCGAGUGUUCCCCGUCGAAACCAUCUGCGGUCCAUCUAGCGAUCGAGAUUGGAGUCCCCCAUUUGCACGAAGAAAUCCCAGUGAUUAACCAGUUGUAGAAAUCCCGCCCCAUUAGUGUUCAACCCCAUCAUUCACAAUUAAUGAAAAAUUGCAUUCUCUGCAGAUAAGAUUGUUUUGCUGAAAUGCAAGGAGAUUUAUUGAAAAAUAGUUAAGUUAGGGUCAGGACUAUGUCUUCUAAGUAUUUAAACAACAUCGAAUAAAAAUUUUCAUUCUAUUUUUAACAACUUACAUUUGCUUUCGGGUCUGCUUAUGACGAAAUAUGGGUUACUGUUCGAUAUUGUUACGACAGACAUGGUUCAUGGCCGUGUGGUGAUCUAAAACUUGUAUAGCCUUGCAUGGCGGAUGGAAAAUAUACACUGCAUUUCCUUAUAAAUUUCAUCAACGACAAGACCGCAAGCCUUGGUGGAUGUCCAAUAUAUCAACGCCGUUUUGAUUCAGUCCGCACUACCUAGGUUUGAACGACUCGUUGAACCAAUGAAAGCGAAUGUAAACAUUGUUCGAGGUAUUUGUGGAGGCAGUUCAAAUAGAAUCUCGGUUAAGGAAAGGUGGAAGGAAUUCAUUGAGGAGCUUAAUGCACUGAGACCACCAAUGUGUCUUGGUUCAGAAUGGCAGAAAAUUUGGAUUCACAUGAGGUGAAAGGUAAAGAAAACACUAGCACACAACAAGCGAGAAUUCAGGUCCACAGGGUAUGGCCCAAUACAAUAAAGCUAUUGACGCCGCUACAACAAGAAAUCGACGCUAAAAGAGAAUCACAUGCAAAAAAAAUAUUUUAUCAAGAAAAGUGGGAUUCAUGCGUGACUCCUUACGGAAUUCUAUAGAUUUUAGUUGUGUAAAUACAUGAAAAAUUUCAUUUUCUAAUAAUUAUAUUUUUUGUAAAGCAAAUUGUUCCAUGAUGUCGUUUUUAUUACUUAUCCAUGAAUGCAUUACGCCUAUUAAGCUCCAUUCGUUGAAGGAAUACCAGUUUUCUCCAAAACAUAACCAUUUUAACACUUUUGGAAAUAUAGAUAUUUAUAAUGUUCAUAACAGAUGUCUCAGAAAAAGAUUUGGCAUCCUUUCUAUAGUGCUUUGUGAAACAUUUCAAACUCGUUUCUAAAUAUUUCAGCACGGCCACUGACAUUCGAGCAGAGUAACGAAUCGAGCUGUUUUCCUCGAUUUCUAUAAUUCCAGAUUUUACUCGGUGUGAUAGUGAUAGUGACUGUAUCGAAUCCUCGAUUCGAUUUCUAUAAUAGGGCCCAUAGAAAUCGAGGAAUACAGCUCGAUUCAUUACUGUUGCUCGAAUGUCAGGGGUGGCGUUGAAAUAUUUUGAAACGGGUUUGAAAUGUUUCACAAAGCAAUAUAGAAAGGAUGCCAAAUCUUUUUUUGAGACAUCUGCUAUUAAAAUUAUAAAUAUCUAUAUUUCCAGAAGUGUUAAUAUGGUUAUGUUUUGGAGAAAACUGAUAUUCCCUUUUCGAAUGAAGUUUAUUAGGCGUAUGGCAUGCUUUGUUUCAUGUGCAAUAAAAACAUAUCCCAUAUAGCCCUCGAAGCGCUGGCGGCCGACCAAAUGUAAUAAAAACAACAGUCACGUAUGAAUUUAAUUUUUUUAGCAAAUUUUUUGACGUAGGAUUACGUCUUUCGGGAACAUAUUGGGGUACAAAUUGAAAAUCGAAAAUCGAGCACAUCGUGAAAAUUGUCCAAUUUCAAACACUUAUUGCUCAGUCAUUUCUCGAUGGAUUGAUGAAAUUUUUGCGUCAAUCGAUUUCGGCACUCCAUAACAAUUUUUUAUAUUGAAGAAAAUAAUAUAUGUCAUGAAAAUAACUAUCAAACAAUUGAAGAAUCCCAACCCGUAUCCUAACGGAAAUACCCACUUCUGAUUGGUCGAAAUUAACGACACAUGCGGCGGUUCCCUAGCAGAGACAUCAAAACCAAGCUGCCUGGGAGAAAUCGGCAUUGCAAAUACAUGAAAGUAGGGGGAACUUUUGUUCCUACCGAGAUGUGUUCCCUAACAGAGACAAACCAAACCAUCAAAACCAAGGUGCUCAGGGCAAAUCGUCAUUGCAAAUAUAUGCAAGUCGUGGGCAUUUUUAUAUUGCAAGUAAGGUGAGUGAUACGAUUAAUUCUAGCAAAUAAAAUUUAAAUUUGAAACUUUAAUGUUGGUUGCUCCGAGAAAUUUCAUAUCAGUGAACAAACAAUACCCAACAACCUAACAAAACGGUCCUUUUCAGGGCCACCAAAUCAUUAUCAAAGAGUUUAACGAUGUAAUUCUUUAAACAUAUCCAAAAUCAACAGAUAGCCUAACGGAAUCCUACGUCAACUAUGCGGUUUCGUCUCGGACACAACCUUCCUGUGACUUUUUUUUGUAUAUAAUCUUCUUAUUCAUUCUAGCAUGAAAUAACGAGUGGUUAGAGCUUAGGACUAGCAUGUGUGAACAAGGUUCAAUCAGAUUUCCAUUCACUGCUCUAUGAUAUAUUACGUCAAUUUGCGUAGUAAAAUUGUUUGGAAAAUUGGUGAUAGAGUAUUUGAAGUACAAACGACAUUCCGUAUUUCGUAGGUUCAGAGUUAAGAAAAUCUGUUUUAUUUGAAAAAACCGUGACAAUCAAUUUCUAAUAUAUAUUCAAUAUUACAUUAGUUUAAUAUAUAUUGACAUCUAGCUAAUUGGCUAUUGUAAUGCGACACGAAUAAUUGGACAUUUUUGCCUCUAAUUGGACAUCUUCGUAAGCAUCGAAUUCUGGACCCUAAUUACGGCCCCAGAAUGAGGGUCGACACUGUUUCACUGUCAUUGCGAAUGUCCAAUUACAGGUCACAAUCUCCUCUAAUGCAACACUGAGUGGUGCCUCGGUAUGUCUAAUAUGGGUAACUUACUGUUUGUAUCAUAGAUAAACACAUACUUUCUGCUAUUCUGAGCCAAGAUGCAUGGGUUUUCCCAGUGCAUUAAGCUUCUCACUGAAUUCCUCCAACUUUUCCUUGACCGGGAUUCUAUUUGAAAGUCUCGAGCAAUGUUUACGAGCCGUUCAAACUGGUAGUGAUUUGUUUUUUUGCCUUCUGUCCACUCAUUUCCAAUCAAUGAAAUAUGCGCUGGAUGUAAAUCCGGCAUUGUAAAUUUUAACAUGAUGGAUAUAAAUGAUUCAGUAUUAAACACUUACCUUGUGUAGACUGUUCUGGCAGCACCGGGAAACAAAUACUGAUCAAAACAAACGAAUGAAUCAAAACAUAGGGCCCUAUUAUAGAAAUCGAAUCGAGGAUUCGAUACAAUCACUAUCACUAUCACACCGAGUAAAAUCUGGAAUUAUAAAAAUCGAGGAAAACAGCUUGAUUCGUUACUCUGCUCGAAUGUCAGUGGCGUUGCAGAAAUAUUUUGAAACGAGUUUGAAAUGUUUCAUAAAGCAUAUAGAAAGGAUGCCAAAUCUGUUUUUGAGACAUCUGCUAUGAAAAUUAUAAAUAUCUAUAUUUCCAAAAGUGUAUAGAAGAAUAUGGUUUGUUUUGGAGAAAACUGAUAUUCCCUCAACGAAUAAAGCUCAAUAGGCGUAAUGCAUGCAUGGGUGUGUAAUAAAAACGACAUCAUGGAACAAUUUGCUUUACAAAAAAUAUAAUUAUUAGAAAAUGAAUAUUUUCAUGUAUUUUCACAACUGCAAUCUAUGGAAUUCCGUAAGGAGUCACCAGUCUUCAGAAUGCAAGAUUUUUGUACCCAGUUGAGCUCCCACUCCUUGUGCACACAUGCGCUCUGGCGAAUGAGCACGUUCCGAAACACAGAUGAAAUGUUUGGUUGUCAGCGCCGUUCUUACGCAGAGAUUUGCGCUGAGUUUUACGCUGAAAUUUGCGCCGUAUUGCUAUACUGCGCGAGUUAAAUAUU